GGCUGCAUGGUGUAAUGGUUAGCACUUCAGAUUCUGAAAACUAGAUGUCUUCUGGUAACCCCGGUUCGAUUCCGGGUGCGGCCU